rnacentral:rRNA from 1 species
UACGUAGGGCGCAAGCGUUGUCCGGAAUUAUUGGGCGUAAAGAGCUCGUAGGCGGUUUGUCGCGUCUGCUGUGAAAACCUAAGGCUCAACCUUGGGCUUGCAGUGGGUACGGGCAGACUAGAGUGUGGUAGGGGAGACUGGAAUUCCUGGUGUAGCGGUGAAAUGCGCAGAUAUCAGGAGGAACACCGGUGGCGAAGGCGGGGUCUCUGGGCCGAUACUGACACUGGAGGAGCGAAA